UGGAAACCCGAAGCCUGCUGCUGCAGAAACGGCCGGAAAUCGCAUUUUCCUUCUCCAGGCGAUAUCUCCCUCCUCAGGCGAGCGUUUGAAGUGAAACCAAGCCCAGACCAGUUCGCCACCUCCCCAUGAGUCGACCGGUGGCCUCCUUUCCUCCCCUCACGGUGGCUACGCGGCGGUAGAGCUCGGUUCCGAUUUGAGUUCAAUUUUGAGUCAACGCCGAUAUCUCUAGUUCUAGAUGACCAAUCUUCGAGAUUCUUGGACUGAUGAACUCAGAUUGAAGUUAUGAACAAGUUUCAUGAAGGGAUCGAAGCGAGUUGUGGAAGUUUUUACGUUGAACGGAGCCUAUGCCGAAUUCUGGAAAAUUUCCGGCGACACCGUGUGUUCUAGGUGAUCAUUGGAUGGAUUUGACGGACGAUGGUGAUUUGUUGUUGAUACUGCUAAGAAGACGCAGCGGGAUUAGAGCGGGAUUAUCCUACAGGGCAGGAAAAUCAGGAAGAGGAUCGAGCUGUGUAGAGUAGCUGCUAGAGAUACUCUGAUUAUUUGUUGUGAGGUGUGUUAUGCUCAUUUAGAGCUUUACAAUUUUACUAUGUGAGAGUGAAUUGUAAUAAUGAAACUCGAGCUUUUCGAGAUUUUAUUUUGAGUGGUUUUAAUUCAUGUUUCGAAUUUUGAAUUUGUUAUUCUUAAAAUUCGGGGCGUGACA